rnacentral:rRNA from 1 species
GGUUAAGCGACUAAGCGUACACGGUGGAUGCCCUGGCAGUCAGAGGCGAUGAAGGACGUGCUAAUCUGCGAUAAGCGUCGGUAAGGUGAUAUGAACCGUUAUAACCGGCGAUUUCCGAAUGGGGAAACCCAGUGUGUUUCGACACACUAUCAUUAACUGAAUCCAUAGGUUAAUGAGGCGAACCGGGGGAACUGAAACAUCUAAGUACCCCGAGGAAAAGAAAUCAACCGAGAUUCCCCCAGUAGCGGCGAGCGAACGGGGAGCAGCCCAGAGCCUGAAUCAGUAUGUGUGUUAGUGGAAGCGUCUGGAAAGGCGCGCGAUACAGGGUGACAGCCCCGUACACAAAAAUGCACAUAUUGUGAGCUCGAUGAGUAGGGCGGGACACGUGGUAUCCUGUCUGAAUAUGGGGGGACCAUCCUCCAAGGCUAAAUACUCCUGACUGACCGAUAGUGAACCAGUACCGUGAGGGAAAGGCGAAAAGAACCCCGGCGAGGGGAGUGAAAAAGAACCUGAAACCGUGUACGUACAAGCAGUGGGAGCACGCUUAGGCGUGUGACUGCGUACCUUUUGUAUAAUGGGUCAGCGACUUAUAUUCUGUAGCAAGGUUAACCGAAUAGGGGAGCCGAAGGGAAACCGAGUCUUAACUGGGCGUUAAGUUGCAGGGUAUAGACCCGAAACCCGGUGAUCUAGCCAUGGGCAGGUUGAAGGUUGGGUAACACUAACUGGAGGACCGAACCGACUAAUGUUGAAAAAUUAGCGGAUGACUUGUGGCUGGGGGUGAAAGGCCAAUCAAACCGGGAGAUAGCUGGUUCUCCCCGAAAGCUAUUUAGGUAGCGCCUCGUGAAUUCAUCUCCGGGGGUAGAGCACUGUUUCGGCAAGGGGGUCAUCCCGACUUACCAACCCGAUGCAAACUGCGAAUACCGGAGAAUGUUAUCACGGGAGACACACGGCGGGUGCUAACGUCCGUCGUGAAGAGGGAAACAACCCAGACCGCCAGCUAAGGUCCCAAAGUCAUGGUUAAGUGGGAAACGAUGUGGGAAGGCCCAGACAGCCAGGAUGUUGGCUUAGAAGCAGCCAUCAUUUAAAGAAAGCGUAAUAGCUCACUGGUCGAGUCGGCCUGCGCGGAAGAUGUAACGGGGCUAAACCAUGCACCGAAGCUGCGGCAGCGACGCUGAUGCGUUGUUGGGUAGGGGAGCGUUCUGUAAGCCUGCGAAGGUGUGCUGUGAGGCAUGCUGGAGGUAUCAGAAGUGCGAAUGCUGACAUAAGUAACGAUAAAGCGGGUGAAAAGCCCGCUCGCCGGAAGACCAAGGGUUCCUGUCCAACGUUAAUCGGGGCAGGGUGAGUCGACCCCUAAGGCGAGGCCGAAAGGCGUAGUCGAUGGGAAACAGGUUAAUAUUCCUGUACUUGGUGUUACUGCGAAGGGGGGACGGAGAAGGCUAUGUUGGCCGGGCGACGGUUGUCCCGGUUUAAGCGUGUAGGCUGGUUUUCCAGGCAAAUCCGGAAAAUCAAGGCUGAGGCGUGAUGACGAGGCACUACGGUGCUGAAGCAACAAAUGCCCUGCUUCCAGGAAAAGCCUCUAAGCAUCAGGUAACAUCAAAUCGUACCCCAAACCGACACAGGUGGUCAGGUAGAGAAUACCAAGGCGCUUGAGAGAACUCGGGUGAAGGAACUAGGCAAAAUGGUGCCGUAACUUCGGGAGAAGGCACGCUGAUAUGUAGGUGAAGCGACUUGCUCGUGGAGCUGAAAUCAGUCGAAGAUACCAGCUGGCUGCAACUGUUUAUUAAAAACACAGCACUGUGCAAACACGAAAGUGGACGUAUACGGUGUGACGCCUGCCCGGUGCCGGAAGGUUAAUUGAUGGGGUCAGCGCAAGCGAAGCUCUUGAUCGAAGCCCCGGUAAACGGCGGCCGUAACUAUAACGGUCCUAAGGUAGCGAAAUUCCUUGUCGGGUAAGUUCCGACCUGCACGAAUGGCGUAAUGAUGGCCAGGCUGUCUCCACCCGAGACUCAGUGAAAUUGAACUCGCUGUGAAGAUGCAGUGUACCCGCGGCAAGACGGAAAGACCCCGUGAACCUUUACUAUAGCUUGACACUGAACAUUGAGCCUUGAUGUGUAGGAUAGGUGGGAGGCUUGGAAGUGUGGACGCCAGUCUGCAUGGAGCCGACCUUGAAAUACCACCCUUUAAUGUUUGAUGUUCUAACGUGGACCCGUAAUCCGGGUUGCGGACAGUGUCUGGUGGAUAGUUUGACUGGGGCGGUCUCCUCCUAAAGAGUAACGGAGGAGCACGAAGGUUGGCUAAUCCUGGUCGGACAUCAGGAGGUUAGUGCAAUGGCAUAAGCCAGCUUGACUGCGAGCGUGACGGCGCGAGCAGGUGCGAAAGCAGGUCAUAGUGAUCCGGUGGUUCUGAAUGGAAGGGCCAUCGCUCAACGGAUAAAAGGUACUCCGGGGAUAACAGGCUGAUACCGCCCAAGAGUUCAUAUCGACGGCGGUGUUUGGCACCUCGAUGUCGGCUCAUCACAUCCUGGGGCUGAAGUAGGUCCCAAGGGUAUGGCUGUUCGCCAUUUAAAGUGGUACGCGAGCUGGGUUUAGAACGUCGUGAGACAGUUCGGUCCCUAUCUGCCGUGGGCGCUGGAGAACUGAGGGGGGCUGCUCCUAGUACGAGAGGACCGGAGUGGACGCAUCACUGGUGUUCGGGUUGUCAUGCCAAUGGCACUGCCCGGUAGCUAAAUGCGGAAGAGAUAAGUGCUGAAAGCAUCUAAGCACGAAACUUGCCCCGAGAUGAGUUCUCCCUGACUCCUUGAGAGUCCUGAAGGAACGUUGAAGACGACGACGUUGAUAGGCCGGGUGUGUAAGCGCAGCGAUGCGUUGAGCUAACCGGUACUAAUGAACCGUGAGGCUUAACCUU